GGAGCGUUCCGCCUUAGAGGGAAGCAACCGCGAAAGCGGGGGUCGACGAAGCGGAAGCGAGAAUGUCGGCUUGAGUAACGAAAACAUUGGUGAGAAUCCAAUGCCCCGAAAACCCAAGGUUUCCUCCGCAAGGUUCGUCCACGGAGGGCGAGUCAGGGCCUAAGAUCAGGCCGAAAGGCGUAGUCGAUGGACAACAGGUCAAUAUUCCUGUACUACCCCUUGUUGGUACGGAGGGACGGAGGAGGCUAGGAUAGCCGAAAGAUGG
rnacentral:ncRNA from 1 species